rnacentral:rRNA from 1 species
CCUACGGGAGGCAGCAGUGAGGAAUAUUGGUCAAUGGCCGCAAGCCUGAACCAGCCAAGUCGCGUGAAGGAUGAAUGCCCUAUGGGUUGUAAACUUCUUUUAUAAGGGAAUAAAGUUAUCCACGUGUGCCUUUUUGCAUGUACCCUAUGAAUAAGCAUCGGCUAACUCCGUGCCAGCAGCCGCGGUAAUACGGAGGAUGCGAGCGUUAUCCGGAUUUAUUGGGUUUAAAGGGUGCGUAGGUUGUUUUUUAAGUCAGUGGUGAAAGUUUGUGGCUCAACCAUAAAAUUGCCGUUGAUACUGGAAGACUUGAGUGUAGUUGAGGUAGGCGGAAUGCGUGGUGUAGCGGUGAAAUGCAUAGAUAUCACGCAGAACUCCGAUUGCGAAGGCAGCUUACUAAGCCAUAACUGACACUGAAGCACGAAAGCGUGGGGAUCAAACAGGAUUAGAUACCCGGGUAGUC